GAUGAACGCUGGCGGCGUGCCUAAUACAUGCAAGUCGAGCGAACGGACGAGAAGCUUGCUUCUCUGAUGUUAGCGGCGGACGGGUGAGUAACACGUGGAUAACCUACCUAUAAGACUGGGAUAACUUCGGGAAACCGGAGCUAAUACCGGAUGAUAUUUUGAACCGCAUGGUUCAAUAGUGAAAGACGGUCUUGCUGUCACUUAUAGAUGGAUCCGCGCUGCAUUAGCUAGUUGGUAAGGUAACGGCUUACCAAGGCAACGAUGCCUAGCCGACCUGAGAGGGUGAUCGGCCACACUGGAACUGAGACACGGUCCAGACUCCUACGGGAGGCAGCAGUAGGGAAUCUUCCGCAAUGGGCGAAAGCCUGACGGAGCAACGCCGCGUGAGUGAUGAAGGUCUUCGGAUCGUAAAACUCUGUUAUUAGGGAAGAACAAAUGUGUAAGUAACUGUGCACAUCUUGACGGUACCUAAUCAGAAAGCCACGGCUAACUACGUG
rnacentral:rRNA from 1 species